UAGGGAAUCUUCCACAAUGGACGCAAGUCUGAUGGAGCAACGCCGCGUGAGUGAAGAAGGUUUUCGGACCGUAAAGCUCUGUUGUUGGUGAAGAAGGAUAGAGGUAGUAACUGGCCUUUAUUUGACGGUAAUCAACCAGAAAGUCACGGCUAACUACGUGCCAGCAGCCGCGGUAAUACGUAGGUGGCAAGCGUUGUCCGGAUUUAUUGGGCGUAAAGCGAGCGCAGGCGGAAGAAUAAGCCUGAUGUGAAAGCCCUCGGCUUAACCGAGAGAUUGCAUCGGAAACUGU
rnacentral:rRNA from 1 species